rnacentral:lncRNA from 1 species
AGCGGGACAUGGCAGAGCGUGGGCACAGCCUUGAAAGCAUCCAGGCUAGUAUUGAAGCGAGGAAACCAGAUUUUGAUGCCUUCAUCGGUACAGCAUUCUGUCAACUUUGUCUUUUUUAAUUGAAGUCGCAAGUUAUGUUAUGAUCAGCCUAAGUUGUUUCUGGAUAAAAAAAGACUAUGCAACAAAAUGCUACAUCAACUAAUGAAAUUCAAACUCAACAAAAUGAAGACAUGUUAACGCUUACCACUCGGUGUGACAGAUCCGCAGAAGCAAUAUGCUGAUGCUGUGAUUGAAGUUCUGCCAACCCAGUUGAUUCCUGAUGACAAUGAAGGAAAGGUGCUGCGUGUUAAAUUGAUCAUGAAAGAAGGCGUGAAGCACUUCAACCCAGUUUACCUCUUCGAUGAAGGAUCAAGCAUCAGCUGGGUACCUUGUGGAAGAAAGCUCACAUGCUCUUACCCUGGCAUCAAAUUUGCAUAUGGCCCGGACACUUACUUUGGCCAUGAGGUAAUUCAUCUCUGUUUAUUUGUCUUCUUCAGUCAGGAAAAAGUUUGUCUGUUACUUGGAAACUAACUUGACACCUGAUAACGAUCUAGCUAGUAGUUCAAAUUAGGAUUUAAAAAAAGACCAAACCACUUUUAAACUAGUGAUCAAGAAUUUCCUUGGCUGACAAACUAAACUGUUGAUCAGUCUCUACCUGACCCAAAGUUUUUAGAGUUAGCAUUUGCUUGAUGUAUUCAGGUAUCAGUGCUGGAGAUGGAUGGGCAAUUUGACAGACUAGAUGAGCUCAUCUACGUGGAGAGCCAUCUAAGCAACCUCUCAACUAAAUUCUACGGAGAGGUGACACAGCAAAUGCUAAAGCAUGCAGACUUCCCAGGAAGCAACAAUGGAACAGGUCUCUUCCAGACCAUCGUUGGACUGAAGAUUAGAGAUCUCUAUGAACAGAUAGUUGCUGAGAGGGCUGGUGCACCAGUUGAGUCAGCGAAAGUUUAAU